AAAUAAAAAAACAGGCAUAAUUGCAGAAUUAUGUAGGCUCUCCAGAUGGCAGAACUUAUUACAAUCCAAAUCUAUCCUAAAUUGGAAUGAGAACAGGCAGGUGCUGUUCCUUACCUCACCAACAAACAAGGGCUGAAGCUAACUUGGCCUUGGUGCACUAAACACAGCAAAGACAUGGAUGCCUACCUUUGCACGGAAUAUUCAGUACACCCAAAUCGAAGUACAUCAAAACAGUGCCUUAUGCUGUCAUUGUUUUCUAGGUAGGGACGAACAUCAGGCAAAUUCUCACUCCAUUAUGAAUUUCCUUGCGCUCUUAUACCUGUUUUUUACAUUAUUAGACAGGAUGAAGUGUUGCAUCAGUAAACAUACAGUUUGAAGGGAUUCAUUUAAUAUGCUUUUGGCCGCUAUUCACAUCCAUGCAUAUGUACGAUUAUGUGAAAGCACAAUUUGAAACAAUUCAUUCCAUAC